CCAGACUCCUACGGGAGGCAGCAGUGGGGAAUAUUGCACAAUGGGGGAAACCCUGAUGCAGCGACGCCGCGUGAGUGAAGAAGUAAUUCGUUAUGUAAAGCUCUAUCAGCAGGGAAGAAAAUGACGGUACCUCUUGAAUAAGCCACGGCUAACUACGUGCCAGCAGCCGCGGUAAUACGUAGGUGGCAAGCGUUGUCCGGAUUUACUGGGUGUAAAGGGCGUGUAGCCGGGCCGGCAAGUCAGAUGUGAAAUCCCAAGGCUCAACCUUGGAACUGCAUUUGAAACUGUUGGUCUUGAGGAUCGGAGAGGCAGGCGGAAUUCCUAGUGUAGCGGUGAAAUGCGUAGAUAUUAGGAGGAACACCAGUGGCGAAGGCGGCCUGCUGGACGACAACUGACGGUGAGGCGCGAAAGCGUGGGGAGCAAACAGGAUUAGAUACCCCAGUAC
rnacentral:rRNA from 1 species